UGCAGUCGAACGGUAACAUUGGUGCUUGCACCAGAUGACGAGUGGCGCACGGGUGCGUAACGCGUAUGCAAUCUACCUUUUACUAGAGUAUAGCCCAGAGAAAUUUGGAUUAAUCCUCUAUAAUAUCUUUUAAUUUCAUGAUUUUAAGAUUAAAGUUUUAACGGUAAAAGAUGAGCAUGCGUCCUAUUAGUUUGUAGGUGAGGUAACGGCUCACCUAGACUACGAUAGGUAGGGGCCCUGAGAGGGGGAUCCCCCACACUGGUACUGAGACACGGACCAGACUCCUACGGGAGGCAGCAGUAAGGAAUAUUGGACAAUGGACGAAAGUCUGAUCCAGCCAUGCCGCGUGCAGGAUGAAAGCCCUACGGGUUGUAAACUGCUUUUAUACAGGAAGAAACACUCCGACGUGUCGGAGCUUGACGGUACUGUAAGAAUAAGGAUCGGCUAACUCCGUGCCAGCAGCCGCGGUAAUACGGAGGAUCCAAGCGUUAUCCGGAAUCAUUGGGUUUGAAGGGUCCGCAGGCUGUUUUUUAAGUCAGAGGUGAAAUCCUACAGCUCAACUGUAGAACUGCCUUUGAUACUGAAAAACUUGAGUUAUUGUGAAGUGGUUAGAAUGUGUGGUGUAGCGGUGAAAUACAUAGAUAUCACACAGAAUACCGAUUGCGAAGGCAGAUCACUAACAAUAUACUGACGCUCAUGGACGAAAGCGUGGGGAGCGAACAGGAUUAGAUACCCUGGUAGUCCACGCCGUAGACGAUGGAUACUAGCUGUUCGUCUAACAUUGGUUAGAUGAGUGGCUAAGCGAAAGUGAUAAGUAUCCCACCUGGGGAGUACGGUCGCAAGACUGAAACUCAAAGGAAUUGACGGGGGCCCGCACAAGCGGUGGAGCAUGUGGUUUAAUUCGAUGAUACGCGAGGAACCUUACCAGGGCUUAAAUGUAGUGGGACAGG
rnacentral:rRNA from 1 species